CCCCCAACCCCAUCCUCCCCACUCCCACCCCCAUCCCCACCCCAUCCCCCCCCAACCCCCCCCUCCCCCCGUGUUGGGAAGAGAUCAAGGGACUGAGCCCUUGUUUGCAUUUUAAUUACCCAACUAAACAAUCAGUAGGAGAGCUGGGACAUUUUAUACACCAAUCCUCCCUUUUUAUGGAGAAUUUUCACAAUAAACCAAGAUUUGAACUCAGAUCUGAACUCAGAUAACUGAACUCAGAUCGCCACAAGCUGCCUGCAUUUCUGAAGUAACCAUAGUCCAUAUAAAGGAGACUAUAGCAGGAAGCCUUAUUGAUCCGUCCACUUAGAUGAAAGCUAAGUGCCCUGGCUAACAUCAAUAUAAGCUCAUGAGGCCCUUUUCAAUUUGUGACAUUUUUUCCUUUCUGAGACACAGUCUGAAGCCUUUUUGAAAGCAGGCUCCACUAGACUUUUGGAAACAGAAUUGCAAGUCCCUGCUAUAAUUAAUUAAAGUGGAAAUGAAGUUGAUUCAAGACCUUCCAGUCCCACAAACUUUAAAAAGAAAACAAAACCAAAAAACCAAUGGUCAAAUGGAUGGCAUUCUAAAGUGCUGUCUGUAAAAGUCACCACUAAAAGAUACGGAAAACACAAUCUAAAGACAGGCCACAUUGCUGGAUCACCGUCCAAUGCGAAGGAAUGCUGCUGGUCUGUAGAGAACGGUAAGAAGACUGGGAAUCAUGAGCCCUAGAAAGAGGUGCGUAAAAUACAGGCUCUGGAGCAAGCACUUGAGGGGAGAGGAACAUUCUCCACAGACGCAAAGCAUUUGACCUGAGAACAGAAAGUAAGGAUGAAGUGUAACGGGAAGGCACCGGCCAUCUCGAAGCAGAUCUUUUUCUGGUCCUCUGUCAUUCCUGGUGAAGCCGCCUCAUUGGACUGAGCCUCUCAUCUCUGAUGUAACGGGGGGAUGACUUUCCUGCUCCAGGAUGCCCUUGACAUAUCAUAAGCAGAGACCCUGAAGUAUUUCUCUUUCCCAGUUUGUAAGUCAGUAUCACCUCCAUCCUCCCAUCCUUCCAGCAGCCCGCACUGCUAAACCAAGAGUAGCCUGGUAUCCUCCCGGAUCCAAGGGAUGUAUUCUGCACUUGGGAAAACAAGAGAAGGGUAGGUAAGGCCUCUUCCCCUGGGAUUUUCUCCCUGGCAUAACCUCUGGCGCUGAUCUUCUGCCUGGUGAGCACAGGGGCUUCCUGACCCUGAGGAGGGUGUUACAUUGUUGUUCACAGGUUUUGCUUUGUUCUGUUUGUCUGAUCGAGUAAUUUGAGACUCACUAAGUAGCUUUGGACCUUGCUACAUAGACCAGGUUGGCCUUGAAGUCACAGAAAGGAGAAUAAACACCGUUCCUGGGUAUACUGUCCCUUCUUAUGCCAGGAGCAAGUCAAACAUCAGGACUCAGUCUCUCUCUGUGUAGAUAGAAUGGCUCCUAGGCUGACCUAGGCACAGUUCAUGUGGAAGAUAAUUUUCUCGGCAUUCCAAAAUGUCACUGUAAGAACGUAACUGGAAGGCAAGGGGCGAACAUGGCCAGUUACCUUAAAAGUAAAACACACUUACCAA